GAUGAACGCUGGCGGCGUGCUUAACACAUGCAAGUCGAACGGAAAGGCCAGUGCUUGCACUGGUGCUCGAGUGGCGAACGGGUGAGUAACACGUGGGUGAUCUGCCCUGCACUUUGGGAUAAGCCUGGGAAACUGGGUCUAAUACCAGAUAGGACCAUGCUUUGGAUGGUGUGGUGGAAAGUUUUUUCGGUGUGGGAUGAGCUUGCGGCCUAUCAGCUUGUUGGUGGGGUAAUGGCCUGCCAAGGCGUCGACGGGUAGCCGGCCUGAGAGGGUGUACGGCCACAUUGGGACUGAGAUACGGCCCAGACUCCUACGGGAGGCAGCAGUGGGGAAUAUUGCACAAUGGGCGCAAGCCUGAUGCAGCGACGCCGCGUGGGGGAUGACGGCCUUCGGGUUGUAAACUCCUUUCGCAACUGACGAAGCUUUUUGUGACGGUAGGUUGAGAAGAAGCACCGGCUAACUACGUG
rnacentral:rRNA from 1 species